GACGAACGCUGGCGGCAUGCUUAACACAUGCAAGUCGAGCGCCCCGCCAGGGGUGCUGCAGGCGGGUGGGUAGGGCAUGGGAACGGACCUUUGUGUGUGACACAACUCCGAGAUACGGAUGCCAAUACGGGAUAAGCGCUAACAGGGAAAGGUAUAUCGCCGAAAGAUCGGCGCGCGUGUGAUUUUCUGGUGGGUGGGGUAACGGCGCACCAAAGCGACGAGCAGUAGCUGUUCUGAGAGGAUGAUACUCCACACUGGGACUGAGACACGGCCCAGACUCCGACGGGGGGCAGCAGUGGGGAAUAUUGGACAAUGGGCGCAAGUCUGAUCCAGCCAUGCCGGGUGAGUGAUGAAGGCCUUAGGGUUGUAAAGCUCUUUUGUCCGAGAAGAUAAUGACGGUACCGGAAGAAUAAGCCCCGGCUAACUUCGUG
rnacentral:rRNA from 1 species